GAUGAAGAACGCAGCGAAAUGCGAUAAGUUAUGUGAAUUGCAGAAUUCAGUGAAUCAUCGAGUCUUUGAACGCACAUUGCGCCCCCUGGUAUUCCGGGGGGCAUGCCUGUCCGAGCGUCAUUGCUGCCCUCAAGCACGGCUUGUGUGUUGGGCCGUCGUCCCCCUCCUAGGGGACGGGCCCGAAAGGCAGCGGCGGCACCGCGUCCGGUCCUCGAGCGUAUGGGGCUUCGUCACCCGCUCCGUAGGCCCGGCCGGCGCUUGCCGACGACCAUCAAUCUCUUUCUCCAGGUUGACCUCGGAUCAGGUAGGGAUACCCGCUGAACUUAAGCAUAUCAAUAAGCGGAGGA
rnacentral:misc_RNA from 1 species